rnacentral:rRNA from 1 species
UGCAAGUCGAACGAUGAUUAUCUAGCUUGCUAGAUAUGAUUAGUGGCGGACGGGUGAGUAACAUUUAGGAAUCUGCCUAGUAGUGGGGGAUAGCUCGGGGAAACUCGAAUUAAUACCGCAUACGACCUACGGGUGAAAGGGGGCGCAAGCUCUUGCUAUUAGAUGAGCCUAAAUCAGAUUAGCUAGUUGGUGGGGUAAAGGCCCACCAAGGCGACGAUCUGUAACUGGUCUGAGAGGAUGAUCAGUCACACCGGAACUGAGACACGGUCCGGACUCCUACGGGAGGCAGCAGUGGGGAAUAUUGGACAAUGGGGGCAACCCUGAUCCAGCCAUGCCGCGUGUGUGAAGAAGGCCUUUUGGUUGUAAAGCACUUUAAGCAGGGAGGAGAGGCUAAUGGUUAAUACCCAUUAGAUUAGACGUUACCUGCAGAAUAAGCACCGGCUAACUCUGUGCCAGCAGCCGCGGUAAUACAGAGGGUGCGAGCGUUAAUCGGAAUUACUGGGCGUAAAGCGAGUGUAGGUGGCUCAUUAAGUCACAUGUGAAAUCCCCGGGCUUAACCUGGGAACUGCAUGUGAUACUGGUGGUGCUAGAAUAUGUGAGAGGGAAGUAGAAUUCCAGGUGUAGCGGUGAAAUGCGUAGAGAUCUGGAGGAAUACCGAUGGCGAAGGCAGCUUCCUGGCAUAAUAUUGACACUGAGAUUCGAAAGCGUGGGUAGCAAACAGGAUUAGAUACCCUGGUAGUCCACGCCGUAAACGAUGUCUACUAGCCGUUGGGGUCCUUGAGACUUUAGUGGCGCAGUUAACGCGAUAAGUAGACCGCCUGGGGAGUACGGCCGCAAGGUUAAGACUCAAAUGAAUUGACGGGGGCCCGCACAAGCGGUGGAGCAUGUGGUUUAAUUCGAUGCAACGCGAAGAACCUUACCUGGUCUU